AUUGGAAGCUGGUUGCCCGCCUCAUGCUUGUCCGUCAAGCGGAACAAAUAAACUUGCUUCUCUUGAAAUCGGCGACACAGGUGAGUAAUGCCUAUGAAUCUGCCUGGAUUUGGGGGAUAACGUCCGGAAACGGACCCUAAUACCGCAUACUUCCUAACGGAUAAAGCCCGGGACCUUCGGGCCUUGCGCUAUCGAAUGAGCCUACGUCUUAUUACCUAUUUGGUGGGGUAAUGGCUCUCCAAGGCCACUAUCCAUAACUGGUCUGAGAGGAUGAUCCUCCUCACUGGAACUGACACACCGUCCCGACUCCUACGGUAAGCACCACUGGGGAAUAUUGGACAAUGGGCUAAAGCCUGAUCCAUCCAUGCCCCGUGUGUGAAUAAGGUCUUCUGAUUGUAAAGCACUUUUUUUUGGGAGGAAGGGCAUUAAAUUAAUACUUUGCUGUUUUGACCUUACCCACAGAAUAUCCACCGGCUAACUCUGUGCCAACAGCCGCCGUAAUACAGACGGUGCCAGCCUUAAUCUGAAUUACUGGGCGUAUAGCGAGCCUACGUGGUUCGUUCAUUUGGAUGUGAAAUCCCCGGGCUCGACCUGAGAACUGCAUUCUCCACUGACUAUCUAGAAUAUGGUACAGGGUGGUGCAAUUUCCUGUGUAUCGCCGACAUGGGUCCAUCUAGGAACGAACACCUUUGGUGAAAGCGACCAACUGCACUGAUACUGACACUGAUGUGCGACAUCGUGUCGAGCAUACAGGAUUAGAUACCAUGGUAGUGCACGCGGAUAAUCGCAUGUCAACUAGCCGUUGGGAGCCGCGAGCUUUUAGUGGCGCAGCUAACGCAUUAAGUUGCCGCCUAGGGGAGUACGGCCGCAAGGGUAAAACUCAAAUGAAUUGACGGGGGCCCGCACAAGCGGUGGACCAGGGGGUUUAAUUCGAAGCAACGCGAAGAACCCUAACAGGCCUUGCCAUCCAAUGACCUUUUUCGAGAUAGAGGCGUGCCUUAGGGAGCAUUGAGACCGGUGUGCCAAGGUCGUCGUCAGCUCGUGUCGUGAGAUGUCUGGGUUAAGUCCCGUAUCGCGCGCGACCGUUGUCCUUAUCAGCCCGCAUGUAAAGGGAGGCCCUGUAUAGGAGACUGCCGGUGCCAAACCGGAGGAAGGUGGGGACGGCUUCAAGUCCUCAUGGUCCUGAGGUCCUGGGCUACCCUCGUGAGACAAUGGUCGGUACAGAGGGUAGCCAAGCCGCGAGGUGGAGCUAUUCCCGGAAAGCUGAUAGUAGUCCGGAUCGCAGUCUGCAAUUGCCACCCGAGCAGUCGGAAUCGCUAGUAAUCGCGAAUCAGAAUGUGGCGGUGAACCCGUUCCCGGUCCU
rnacentral:rRNA from 1 species